rnacentral:miRNA from 1 species
AAAAACUUUUUUCUUUUUUU